UACGAAGGGGGCUAGCGUUGCUCGGAAUCACUGGGCGUAAAGGGUGCGUAGGCGGGUCUUUAAGUCAGGGGGGAAAUCCUGGAGCUCAACCCCAGAACUGCCUUUGAUACUGAGGAUCUUGAGUUCGGGAGAGGUGAGUGGAACUGCGAGUGUAGAGGUGAAAUUCGUAGAUAUUCGCAAGAACACCAGUGGCGAAGGCGGCUCACUGGCCCGAUACUGACGCUGAGGAGCGAAAGCGUGGGGAGCGAACAGG
rnacentral:rRNA from 1 species